ensembl:lncRNA
GAGAGAGAGAGUCAGAGAGAGAAAGAGAGAGAGGGGGAGAGAGAGAAAGAGAGAGGCAGAGAGAGGGAGAGGGAGAGAGAGAUGCAGAGAGAGAGAGAGUCAGAGAGAGAGAGCGAGAGGGGGAGAGAGAGAAAGAAAGAGAGAUGCAGAGAGAGGCAGAGAGAGGGAGAGGGAGAGAGAGAUGCAGAGAGAGGCAGAGAGAGGGAGAGGGAGAGAGAGAUGCAGAGAGAGGCAGAGAGAGAGGGAGAUGCAGAGAGAGACAGAAAGAGGCAGAGAGAGAGAGUCAGAGAGAGAGAGCGAGAGGGGAGGAGAGAGAAAGAGAGAGAGAUGCAGAGAGAGAGAGAGUCAGAGAGAGAGAGAGCAAGAGGGGGGGAGAGAGAAAGAGAGAGAGAGAUGCAGAGAGAGGCAGAGAGAGGGAGAGGGAGAGGGAGAGAGAGAUGCAGAGAGAGGCAGAGAGAGAGGGAGAUGCAGAGAGAGACAGAAAGAGGCAGAGAGAGAGUCAGAGAGAGCGAGAGGGGAGGAGAGAGAAAGAGAGAGAGAUGCAGAGAGAAACAGAAAGAGGCAGAGAGAGAGAGAGUCAGAGAGAGAGAGAGAGAGAGAGAGAGGGGGGGAGAGAGAGAAAAAGAGAGAGCAAUGUAAAGGGAAGGUGAAGAUCAGCUUGGUAAUUAAGUAGUGAACUAGGGCAGGUAAUUAAGUAGUGAACUUGGGCAGUUAAUUAAGUAGUGAACUAGGGCAGGUAAUUAAGUAGUGAACUUGGGCAGGUAAUUAAGUAGUGAACUUGGGCAGUUAAUUAAGUAGUGAACUUGGGCAGUUAAUUAAGUAGUGAACUUGGGCAGUUAAUUAAGUAGUGAACUUGGGCAGGUAAUUAAGUAGUGAACUAGGGCAGGUAGUUAAGUAGUGAACUAGGGCAGGUAGUUAAGUAGGGAACUUGGGCAUGUAGUUAAGUAGUGAACUUGGGUAGGUAAUUAAGUAGUGAACUUGGGCAGGUAAUUAAGUAGUGAACUUGGGCAGGUAAUUACGUAGUGAACUUUGUCACGAAUUCCACCGAAGUCGGUCCCUCUCCUUGUUCGGGCGGCGUUUGGCGGUUGACGUCACCGGCCUUCUAGGCAUCGACGAUCCAGUAUUCAUUUUCAAUUUGUUUUGUUUUUGUUUUACACACCUGGUUUCAAUUCCCCAAAUACAUGUUCUUUAUUUAACCCUCUGUUUUCUCCAUGGUUUUUAUGCGUGUUUGUUUGUUGGCUGAGAAAUGUUUGUUCUUCCAAAAGUCUGUCUCCUUCCAGGGUACCGCAUUUCCACUUCAGGGGUAGAGAUGAAGAGUGACCGCAUUUUAGCCGUGUGUAAUUGGCUGACUCCCACCAUAGUAAAGGAGGUGCAGCGGUUUCUAGGGUUUGUCAACUACUACCGGAGGUUUAUCCGGGGUUUUGGUCAACUAGCGGCUCCCAUUACCUCACUGCUGAAGGGAGGACCGGUGCGACUGCAGUGGGCGGCUGAGGUGGACAGGGGCUUUUGGUCACCUGAAGCCUAUGUUUACCUCGGCUCCCGUGCUGGCCCAUCCGGAUUCCUCUUUGGCGUUCAUAGUGGAGGUGGAUCCGUCCGAGGCUGGGAUAGGAGCCGUGCUCUCUCAGUGCUCGGGUACGCCACCAAAGCCCCUGUGGCUUCUUCUCAAUGAAGCUCAGCCCGGCAGAGCGAAACCAUGAUGUGGGGGACCGGGAGCUGUUGGCUGUUGUCAAGGCUCUGAAGGCGUGGAGACAUUGGCUUGAGGGGGCUAAACACCCUUUUCUCAUCUGGACUGACCACCGCAAUCGGGAGGACAUCCGGGCGGCGAGGAGACUGAACCCUCGCCAGGCAAGGUGGGCCGUGUUCUUUACCCGUUUUGUUUUCACUCUGUCCUACAGACCAGGUUCCCAGAACGCUAAGGCAGAUGCACUGUCCCGGAUGUAUGACACAGAGGAGCGGUCCAUGGAUCACACUCCCAUACUUCUGGCCUCUUGCCUGGUGGCACCGGUGGUGUGGGAGCUGGACGCAGACAUCGAGCGGGCAUUACGUACGUUCCUGUUGCUGUCCGCGGCCGUUUGAUCUAUUGGGUCCACAUGUCACCCUCCUCUGGUCAUCCGGGCAUCGGUAGGACAGUGAGAUGUCUCAGUGGGAAGUACUGGUGGUCCACCUUGGCCAAGAACGUGAGGGUUUAUGCUUCCUCCUGCUCGGUGUGCGCCCAGUGCAAGGCUCCUAGGCACCUGCCCAGGGGGAAGUUACAGCCCUUACCCGUUCCACAACGGCCGCGGUCACACCUAUCGGUGGAUUUCCUCACGGAUCUUCCUCCCGCACGGGGCAACACCACGAUCCUGGUCGUUCUCAGUUCUCUAAGUCCUGCCGUCUUCUUCCUUUGCCCGGUCUCCCUACGGCCCUACAGACGGCGGAGGCCCUGUUUACACACGUCUUCCAGCACUACGGGGUGCCUGAGGAUAUAGUGUCUGAUCGAGGUCCCCAGUUCACGUCAAGGGUCUGGAGGGCGUUCAUGGAACGUCUAGGGAUCUCUGUCAGCCUCACCUCGGGUUUUCACCCCAAGAAUAACGGGCAGGUGGAGAGAGUAAACCAGGAUGUGGGUAGGUUUCUGCAGUCUUAUUGCCAGGACCGGCCGGGGGAGUGGGCGGCGUUCCCCUGGGCAGAGAUGGCCCAAAACUCACUCUGCCACUCUUCCACUAACCUCUCUCCCUUCCAGUGUGUACUGGGGUAUCAGCCGCAGUUCUGGCACC